rnacentral:rRNA from 1 species
CCCCUAGAUGUUCUGGGCCGCACGCGCGCUACACUGAACAGUUCAACAAGUCUUAACCUUGGCCGAUAGGUCUGGGUAAUCUUUGAACGCUGUUCGUGAUUGGGAUAGACCUUUGCAAUUAUGGGUCUUCAACGAGGAAUUCCUAGUAAACGCAAGUCAUCAGCUUGCAUUGAUUACGUCCCUGCCCUUUGUACACACCGCCCGUCGCACCUACCGAUUGAAUGGUCCGGUGAAAUCUCGGGACGGCGGCUUGGUCGCUUGCGUCCGACUGCUGACACUUGAUUAAACCAUAUCAUUUAGAGGAAGGUGAAGUCGUAACA